UGAGGAUUCAGAGAGGGUAGCUCUUCAAUGUGUCCCAGAAAAGGUGACAGCUAAGUUGAAUUCUAAAGGUGGUGCACAAGACAGAGAAGCGAAGCGAAGCAGAAGGAGGAAUAUGGACAGGAGUUUGGAGCAGAUCCUUUUUCACGUGAUGAAAUGGAAUCUCAGAAAAGGAAGCACUUGGACAAGAGGCCAGAAUAAGUGACAAGGUGUGAUUAGCACCAAGCUGUUGGAACCCCAAGCACAUAUUCCACAUCCGUGGUCUUAUUUGGUCUUCACAAGGAGCCUCACUGCUGCCCACUCCCUGCUCUGCGCUGGGUAGGGAUGUAGAAGGGGAGGGCUCCAUGACCAAAGACACAGAGAUAAAGAAGUUGCCACACAGUCCAAUCAGUGGGAGGGCCAAGACCCAGCUUGGUCUCAGUGUUUGGACCCCCAGCCAGGGACCCCUGUAACCAAGAGUUAUUACUUAAUCUGAGAGCACCCACACUCUCAUCAGUCGCCGUUUGCGGACUCCGUUCCAGUGGUGAGUAACAGAGAACCGCUGUUGCUAAGCUGCAAGGUUACAAAUAGCAUUGCAACUUCCUUGAUUGUCGUUCAUCAACAAGGGAGAAUGGAAGUCAUUAAAAAGGCCAGUCGGGGACUUGUAAUA